rnacentral:rRNA from 1 species
CAGCAGCCGCGGUAAAACGGAGGGAGCUAGCGUUGUUCGGAAUUACUGGGCGUAAAGCGCGCGUAGGCGGUUACUCAAGUCAGAGGUGAAAGCCCGGGGCUCAACCCCGGAACUGCCUUUGAAACUAGGUGACUAGAAUCUUGGAGAGGUCAGUGGAAUUCCGAGUGUAGAGGUGAAAUUCGUAGAUAUUCGGAAGAACACCAGUGGCGAAGGCGACUGACUGGACAAGUAUUGACGCUGAGGUGCGAAAGCGUGGGGAGCAAACAGGAUUAGAUACCCGGGUAGUCCCUGUCUCUUAUAA